rnacentral:rRNA from 1 species
UAGGGAAUCUUCGGCAAUGGACGAAAGUCUGACCGAGCAACGCCGCGUGAGUGAAGAAGGUUUUCGGAUCGUAAAACUCUGUUGUUAGAGAAGAACAAGGACGUUAGUAACUGAACGUCCCCUGACGGUAUCUAACCAGAAAGCCACGGCUAACUACGUGCCAGCAGCCGCGGUAAUACGUAGGUGGCAAGCGUUGUCCGGAUUUAUUGGGCGUAAAGCGAGCGCAGGCGGUUUCUUAAGUCUGAUGUGAAAGCCCCCGGCUCAACCGGGGAGGGUCAGUGGAAACUGGGAGACUGGAGUGCAGAAGAGGAGAGUGGAAUUCCAUGUGUAGCAGUGAAAUGCGUAGAUAUAUGGAGGAACACCAGUGGCGAAGGAGGCUCUCUGGUCUGUAACUGACGCUGAGGCUCGAAAGCGUGGGGAGCAAACAGG